AAUGAACGCUGGCGGCGCGCCUAAUACAUGCAAGUCGAGCGAGAAGACGUAGCAAUACGUUUGUAAAGCGGCGAACGGGUGAGGAAUACAUGGGUAACCUACCCUCGAGUGGGGAAUAACUAGCCGAAAGGUUAGCUAAUACCGCGUACGCUCCUUGGUACUUCGGUUCGAGGGAGGAAAGCGAUACCGUGGGUAUCGCGCUCUUGGUUGGGCUCAUGUCCUAUCAGCUUGUUGGUAGGGUAACGGCCUACCAAGGCGACAAUCCGUAGCUGGUCUGAGAGGACGACCAGCCACACCGGAACUGAGACACGGUCCGGACUCCUACGGGA
rnacentral:rRNA from 1 species